GAGUUUGAUCAUGGCUCAGAUUGAACGCUGGCGGCAUGCUUUACACAUGCAAGUCGAACGGCAGCACGGGCUUCGGCCUGGUGGCGAGUGGCGAACGGGUGAGUAAUGCAUCGGAACGUGCCCAUGUCGUGGGGGAUAACGUAGCGAAAGCUACGCUAAUACCGCAUACGCCCUGAGGGGGAAAGCGGGGGAUUCUUCGGAACCUCGUGCGAUUGGAGCGGCCGAUGUCGGAUUAGCUAGUUGGUGGGGUAAAGGCCCACCAAGGCGACGAUCCGUAGCGGGUCUGAGAGGAUGAUCCGCCACACUGGGACUGAGACACGGCCCAGACUCCUACGGGAGGCAGCAGUGGGGAAUUUUGGACAAUGGGGGCAACCCUGAUCCAGCCAUGCCGCGUGAGUGAAGAAGGCCUUCGGGUUGUAAAGCUCUUUCGGCCGGGAAGAAAUCGUGGUCUCUAACAUAGGCCAUGGAUGACGGUACCGGACUAAGAAGCACCGGCUAACUACGUGCCAGCAGCCGCGGUAA
rnacentral:rRNA from 1 species